GUACGCCUCAAAGUGGGAUUUUUUUUUCCAGUCGUGAAACAAUAUGUCUUUUGGACUUCUUCAGAAAUUUUACAACAUAUACAUUGCAGAUAAUUAAAUCAGCUAUUUUCAUGAAGGUGCUGACAGUACUACACAUUUUUACUGAGAUGUACGUUCAGCUGAAGUCAUAGAAACUUCCUUUAUUGUUUCCUCUAAAAAAAUCAAGGCUUUAUUCUGCAGCUACAGCUGAGGCCAAAGAAAAUUAGCAAAAUAAAUACAACUCACCUGUAUCAAUUCAUUUAUUUGAUGCAAAUCAUCAUCAGUUGCUGCCUUUUUCUUGGGGAUAAUGCCUUCUUGUAAGGAAAAGCCAGAAUUGGGAAGACAGCAACAGACAGCAAGUGCCACCUAAUGCAAAGCUGAAAAAACAGUGGACCACUUACUUAGUAGCUGCUGCAAGAAGAUUGCACAGAAUACAAGCAAUGGCACGACAAAGUAACAACAAUGGUGCAUUGGAAGAUCUGCAAGAAAUAUCAUUUGCCUGCAAGUAAGAACUGGUGGGACCCUAUAAUAGAGAAAGUCGCAGAAAAUGAAGAAGUUAAAUUUGCCCUGAGAUUUUAGAAUUUAAACAGAUAGGCACAAAAAAGUAUGGAUAGUGGAUGUCGCAGUAAGGAAAAAGCAGAAUGGAACAGAAGGAACUGGAGAAGAUAACAAAAUAUGAAGGCCUUUAAACAGAAAUAGAACAACUGUGGCAAAAGAAAGCAAAGACAGUACCAAUAGUCAUAGGCACCUUGUGUGCAAUCCCAAAACAACUGGGGCACCAUUUGAACACCACCAGCAUUGGCAAAUUCACUACCAAUCAAUUGCAAAAGGUGGCUUUACUUGGGAACAGUUUAUACACUGCGAUGAUAUCUGUAACACUAUUAAACAUCCACACCUGCUUAUCCCAGCCUUGGAAAGAACUUGAUAGAAAAAAAGGCCAAAUCCAGUCUAAAUAUCUGGCUGACUGCAAUGAAUCAUAAUAAUUCAUCAGUCAAUUGCAAAAGGCAACUUUACUCGGAAUAGCUUAAUAAAUGUGUACAAAGUCAAUACUGAGAAGACAGAAACAGAUAAUGUUGCCUCUGCAAAGAAGCUGAAGUGGACUACCUAGCUAGCUGCCACAAGAUCACAUAGAUUGACUACAAACACCGGUAUGACAAAGUAGCAACAAUGGUGCAUUGGAAUAUCUGCAAGAAAUACCAUUUGCCUACAAGCAAGACCUGGUGAGACCACAAAAUAGACAAAGUAGUAGAAGAUGAAAAUGCUGAAGCCCUGGAAUUUUAUAAUUCAAACAGAUAAAUACCUGCCACAUAACAUCCUAGACUUAACAAAUGUCAGUAACAAAGCAAAAAACUCUGAAUAGUGAAUGUGGCAGUACCAGAGUUAGCAAAGAGAAGAACUGCAGAAAAUCACAAAGAACUACAAAUAAAAAUUGAACUGUGGCAAAAGAAAUAUAGUACCAAUAAUAAUAGCCUU